rnacentral:rRNA from 1 species
CCUACGGGAGGCUGCAGUGGGGAAUAUUGCACAAUGGGCGCAAGCCUGAUGCAGCCAUGCCGCGUGUGUGAAGAAGGCCUUCGGGUUGUAAAGCACUUUCAGCGGGGAGGAAGGCGGUGAGGUUAAUAACCUCAUCGAUUGACGUUACCCGCAGAAGAAGCACCGGCUAACUCCGUGCCAGCAGCCGCGGUAAUACGGAGGGUGCAAGCGUUAAUCGGAAUUACUGGGCGUAAAGCGCACGCAGGCGGUCUGUCAAGUCGGAUGUGAAAUCCCCGGGCUCAACCUGGGAACUGCAUUCGAAACUGGCAGGCUAGAGUCUUGUAGAGGGGGGUAGAAUUCCAGGUGUAGCGGUGAAAUGCGUAGAGAUCUGGAGGAAUACCGGUGGCGAAGGCGGCCCCCUGACAAAGACUGACGCUCAGGUGCGAAAGCGUGGGGAGCAAACAGGAUUAGAUACCCGAGUAGUC